GAUGAACGCUAGCGACAGGCUUAACACAUGCAAGUCGAGGGGUAACAGGGGAGCUUGCUCCCGCUGACGACCGGCGCACGGGUGCGUAACGCGUAUACAACCUGCCUCAAAGCGAGGGAUAACCCAGAGAAGUUUGGACUAAUACCUCAUAGUAUAUAUUAGAGGCAUCUUUGAUAUAUUAAAGAUUUAUUGCUUUGAGAUGGGUAUGCGUAUGAUUAGCUAGUUGGUAAGGUAACGGCUUACCAAGGCUACGAUCAUUAGGGGUUCUGAGAGGAAGGUCCCCCACACUGGUACUGAGACACGGACCAGACUCCUACGGGAGGCAGCAGUGAGGAAUAUUGGUCAAUGGGCGAGAGCCUGAACCAGCCAAGUCGCGUGAAGGAAGACGGUCCUAUGGAUUGUAAACUUCUUUUGUACAGGAGUAAAGUGAGUUACGAGUAACUUUUUGCAAGUACUGUACGAAUAAGCAUCGGCUAACUCCGUGCCAGCAGCCGCGGUAAUACGGAGGAUGCGAGCGUUAUCCGGAUUUAUUGGGUUUAAAGGGUGCGCAGGCGGUAUUACAAGUCAGAGGUGAAAUCUUGGUGCUUAACAUUAAAAUUGCCUUUGAAACUGUAGUACUUGAGUGUAAAAGAGGUAGGCGGAAUGUGUUGUGUAGCGGUGAAAUGCUUAGAUAUAACACAGAACACCGAUUGCGAAUGCAGCUUACUAUAAUACAACUGACGCUCAUGCACGAAAGCGUGGGGAUCAAACAAG
rnacentral:rRNA from 1 species